GCUGGGCCUGGUGGUGCCUGCCUGUAAACCCAGUGGCUUGGGAGUCUGAGACAGGAGGAUUGCAAGUUUGAGGCCAGCCUCAGCCACUUAGUGAGGCCCUUAGCAACUCAGCGAGAUCCUGUCUCUA
rnacentral:sRNA from 1 species